ACCACCAGAGUUCCUUUCCUUUCACAGCACUGGAUUUGAAAUAAGGGAGACUUUGCCUCCAACGAUGCAUUCUGAUUAACGCUGCUGCUGGCCUCAAGGAACCCUUACCUAUUUGGGAGCAGAGUCCUGUCUGGAGCAGAGUCCCACGAGCCGAAUGUCACUGUGCCUGCGUGUGGCCCGCGAGAUUCUUCCAAGUUUCCACAGUUCUAAGCUCAUCUAGAAAUGAAGAACAUGAGGCAGAUUUAGCUGUUCUCCAGUCUGCAAUGGUGACAGACGUGUCUUCAGCUUGAGACCUGUUCUCCAUCACAACUUCCACAAUGGAAAAAGUGCUUCAAAUAAUUUAGUCUUUCCAGAUUCUCUCCCACUAAAAUAUCGAAGAGCCUGUGCGGGUGGAUCAUUCUUAAGGCACAACAAGGCAAAAGAUGUUCAUGAACUCACAGCACGCACAAAACCUGCACAAGCACAUGCCAAACGAAUUCCAAAGACAAGGGAAGAAAAAUGGUCGCAUUGCCCUACUCAUAGAAGCUAUCUGCAAGUGAGGAAAAAUAAAUAAAUAAACAGU
rnacentral:sRNA from 1 species